CCCGUAUUAUAAUUGAUAUUAUGUGUUAAUAUACCGAAAAUGUCAGUAAAUCGAGGUGGUGCUGCUGUCUGUCCCGUCGAAAACCAUUCAAACAGGUUGCCAGCAGUGGGUUUUUUGCGAGCUACUCACCUAUACCAAGUGAUCACAUGUCGGCGAGAUCAUCGUAACUCUCUAUUUAUAUGGCUCUGGCCCAUUGGUUGGGAAUCGUCGCUCUCAUUUGCAUGAAGUUAAGCGCGUCAUCUUGCUAUGUUCACAUCCUGCAGUCGCGACCCUGUCACUUGUUUCCAUAUGAAAUAUAUGGUAUGCUUCACUACUUCGCGCAGUUGUUCGGUGUAUUGACAACAGCCCGUCACUCGCGCACUGUGCUCGUAAAUUAUUUUUCAAGUUCGCACAUACCUAUUUUUAGGCGCAAAUGCGAGUGAAAUACUCGCACUGUAGAGCCCUGCCCAACCCACAUAGCUUUAGUUUUUUUCCCACCUCAAACACACAUCUGUAAAAUUAUGUAAUUCAUACUUAUGGAAAUAACUAUAUAGUCAGAUACGGACAAUAGGUCUACAUAGCCGUGUAUAGUCAAUGCUAUGAUGUCACCAUGUAGUUUUCAUUAAUAUCUUGCUGUGGGCUAAUACUAAUAUGAAUGCCAUUUGUUAAGUGUUCAAAAAGCUGGGCAGGAACAAGCUGGUAAAAAAGGGAACCUUACAGAUGUUUUGUUUGUUACUAUCAUAGAUAAAUAUACCAGUAUCGUAUCGUAUUUGUGGUAUCGUAUCGUAAGUAUCGGGUAUCGUGAUAUUUUGGCAGGUAUAGUAUCGAAGUCAUAAUUUUGAUAUCGUGACAACCCUAGUCAGGAGUGUGUGUGUGGGUCAGGUGUGUGUUAGUCAGGAGUGUGUGUGGGUCAGGUGUGUGUGUGUGUUAGACAGGUGUGUGUGUGUUAGUCAGGUGUGUGUUAGUCAGGAGUGUGUGUGGGUCAGGUGUGUGUGUGUGUUAGACAGGUGUGUGUGUGUUAGUCAGGAGUGUGUGUGUGGGUCAGGUGUGUGUUAGUCAGGAGUGUGUGUUUGGUCAGGUGUGUGUUAGUCAGGAGUGUGUU
ensembl:lncRNA